AGCGAACGCUGGCGGCAGGCCUAACACAUGCAAGUCGAACGAACUCUUCGGAGUUAGUGGCGGACGGGUGAGUAACACGUGGGAACGUGCCUUUAGGUUCGGAAUAACUCAGGGAAACUUGUGCUAAUACCGAAUGUGCCCUUCGGGGGCAAGAUUUAUCGCCUUUAGAGCGGCCCGCGUCUGAUUAGCUAGUUGGUGAGGUAAAGGCUCACCAAGGCGACGAUCAGUAGCUGGUCUGAGGGGAUGAUCAGCCACAUUGGGACUGAGACACGGCCCAAACUCCUACGGGAGGCAGCAGUGGGGAAUCUUGCGCAAUGGGCGAAAGCCUGACGCAGCCAUGCCGCGUGAAUGAUGAAGGUCUUAGGAUUGUAAAAUUCUUUCACCGGGGACGAUAAUGACGGUACCCGGAGAAGAAGCCCCGGCUAACUUCGUG
rnacentral:rRNA from 1 species